AUGGUGGUGGUUCAGUGAUAGCAUUCUUGCCUUCUAUGCAGGAGACCUGGGUUCAAUUCCUGGCCGAUCUA
rnacentral:tRNA from 1 species